AGCAAUAAGUGGCUAGAUUACUGACUGCCACCGUAUGGCCGAACCAAUGGUGGAAGCGGAGAGGAUUUUACUGAUAGUGUGAAACGGAGAAGCCAUUACAAAAGAAAAGAACCCAUCCUUUUAUUUAUUUUCUGUUGGAAUCCUAAUCAACCACAGGAUGGCUGGUUGAAUUAAUAUAUCCUCGUUGACGUCGCCUCAUGCCACGUGCUCCCUCUUCUCUCUUAUUUAUUUAUUUUUUCUUUUUCUGUAAUAUGUCUGCGAGUAUUUAUAUAUAUAUAUAUAUAUCAGCAGACUAUAGAAAUGUGUACACUUGCUCUCUACUUAUUAUUUUCAGCAUCUUCACACCCUUCCUUCCUUCUUGAUUGAUCAGUUUUCACUUCUGAGCCCAAAGAGGAAGAAAGAGAAAGAGAAGAAGAUGGAACGUGGAGGAGGCUUCCAUGGCUACCGCAAGCUGCCCACCACCACAAGCUCCUCUGCAGGUAAUGUCGGUUAAUUAUUUAUGACAUUUGAUGAAUUUGUUUGCGUGCUGCCUCUUGCAUAUGAAAAUAAAAGAAAACAAAAAUGCAACUG
rnacentral:lncRNA from 1 species